ACGGGAGGCAGCAGUCGGGAAUAUUGCGCAAUGGAGGAAACUCUGACGCAGUGACGCCGCGUGCAGGAAGAAGGUUUUCGGAUUGUAAACUGCUUUAGACAGGGAAGAAACAAGACAGUACCUGUAGAAUAAGCUCCGGCUAACUACGUGCCAGCAGCCGCGGUAAUACGUAGGGAGCGAGCGUUAUCCGGAUUUAUUGGGUGUAAAGGGUGCGUAGACGGGAAAUUAAGUUAGUUGUGAAAUCCCAAGGCUCAACUUUGGAACUGCAACUAAAACUAAUUUUCUUGAGUACUGGAGAGGAAAGUGGAAUUCCUAGUGUAGCGGUGAAAUGCGUAGAUAUUAGGAGGAACACCAGUGGCGAAGGCGGCUUACUGGACGGCAACUGACGUUGAGGCUCGAAGGCGUGGGGAGCAAACAGGAUUAGAUACCCUGGUA
rnacentral:rRNA from 1 species